rnacentral:rRNA from 1 species
UACGUAGGGGGCAAGCGUUGUCCGGAAUUAUUGGGCGUAAAGAGCGCGUAGGCGGUCCGAUAAGUCGGCUGUGAAAGUCCAGGGCUCAACCCUGGAAAGCCGGCCGAUACUGUCGGACUAGAGUCCGGAAGAGGCGAGUGGAAUUCCCGGUGUAGCGGUGAAAUGCGCAGAUAUCAGGAGGAACACCGGUGGCGAAGGCGGUUCUCUGGGCCUUACCUGACGCUGAGGAGCGAAAGCGUGGGGAGCGAACAGG